rnacentral:rRNA from 1 species
GACGAACCGUGCAAACGUUAUUCGGAAUCACUGGGCAUAAAGGGCGCGUCGGCGGCUUUCUAAGUCAGGGGUGAAAUCCGGCAGCUCAACUGUCGCAGUGCCUUUGAUACUGGAGAGCUCGAGGGAGGUAGGGGUCUGUGGAACUUCCGGUGGAGCGGUGAAAUGCGUUGAUAUCGGAAGGAACGCCGGUGGCGAAAGCGACGGACUGGAUCUCUUCUGACGCUGAGGCGCGAAAGCCAGGGGAGCAAACGGG